rnacentral:rRNA from 1 species
UACGUAGGGGGGCAAGCGUUGUCCGGAUUCAUUGGGCGUAAAGAGCGUGUAGGCGGCCAGGUAGGUCGGUUGUGAAAACUCGAGGCUCAACUUCGAGCUGUCGGCGGAAACUAUCUGGCUAGAGUCCGGAAGAGGAGAGUGGAAUUCCUGGUGUAGCGGUGAAAUGCGCAGAUAUCAGGAAGAACACCCGUGGCGAAGGCGGCUCUCUGGGACGGUACUGACGCUGAGACGCGAAAGCGUGGGGAGCGAACAGG